GUUGUUGCCCAUGUCGUAGACGGAAUAGUAGGACCUAAGGAAGACGUCCCCGAGGAUCCACAGGGGCUGGCCAUUCUGGGAGGGCAGCCUCUUUCCAGAGAAGGGAGUUUAGAAUCAAUGAGCGGAGAAAAUAAAUCAACACUUUAAGAGUCGGAACAUAUCACAAGGAUCCUGGACUCUUCAGCAAUGCUCUGCUAAACCCAUUCACGUUGAGCUAUGAAGACUGAUAGCUUCUCCAGCCACCUCAACAGAAUUCAUAUGUUACAAGACGUUUCUAAGAAGAGCCAUCUCUCCAUCCACAGAAUCUCUAAUGGUGGGACAGCAGCAGUGUGGUCAGCCCCAGCUCUCCUGAUGUCCGGGGAGCCACGCCACUCACUCCCUUUCUCCUGACACCUCAGCAUAUAGAAAUUACAUUACUGAUGUCUCUGCUUAGGAGCUGGAGGCAGAGCAAGACUACCACCAUCCACUUCAUGAUGCCAAUUCCCAACUGGCUGCAGAGGAAAAGCCACUUCAAGUUGAGCAGUCGUGGUGGAGUGAAGGCCUGAGCACUGCUUCUUCCUUUAUACCCCCCGGGACCCAGCCCAGUCCCCACCUCCCUGCCCUGGCCAAACAUGACCUCAACCCCUGCUGUACCCUGAGCUCCACGUUCCAAUUGUUUCCUUCUGUUGACCCUCGUGAGGGUGGCUGCGAAAGACUUUUCAUCUUAUUGACUUUUUAAUGCAGGCAAUGGAAGCUGGGAGGUGCGAGCGAUAAGAGAGAACAAAGUUGGAGUGACGAAGAUUAUUUCUUAUCCAGGAACCAAAGGUGUGAUGUGGGCCUUUUGGGAUGAGAGCCAGAGAAAGGUAGAGCCAGAGGGAUGGCUGUAAGAUCUGUAAUUGGGCUUCUCAUCCUCGGUACUAUUGAUAUUUUGGAAUAAAUAGCUGUUCGUUGUGGGCACUGUCCUGUGCAUUGUAGAAUGUUUAGCAGAUUCUCUGGCUCCUACCCACUUGAUGCUAACAGUAGUCCUUCAGUUGUGACAGCCAAAAAAUGUCUCCAAGUAUGUCCAAAUGUCUCCUUAGGGGGCAAAGUUGUUGAGAACCACUGAUCUAUUUGCGAUAAGCUUGGAGGUCUGACUCAAGUCCUGGUUCCCAGCACCCCCAAACCCUUGGGGGAUGUAGUUAGGGGUGUCUGGGGGAUGAUGGGGUCAGCGGCUAGGAUGAUAGUAAUGAUAAUGGUGAUGGUAAGAGUGGUGGUGUUGGUGGUGCUGACGGCGGUACCGUUAGCACUGAUGCAGGUGGUAGGGCUGGGAUGCAGUGGUUGAGGUCAGAGAGAGCCUUUUGGGGCAGCUUUGGAGGCUUUCAAGGUCAUAGGGGGCAUCUGGAGGAAUUCGCAUCAAAAUUCAGCGAGUGCUCAGGACACACCCACAGGUAAGCCAAAUGGCCCCUGGUUAUGCCUCUUGUGCUAGUCUGGAACAAUAGAGGGCCUGGGUCAGGGGCACACGGAGAGGGGCAUGUCUGCCCUUGCUUCUGCUCUUCAUUGUCUCUUGUCUCCCACUCCAUUUUGACUCCGCCCAUUUUUAGCUCUGAAAUUGCUGUGACCCCCAUUACCUUCCCCCUAAGCUCUAGGUGUCCCCUUUUCCUGCCCCCAAGCCUGACCUGUCCUGUACCUCCAUCCCUUAUCUCCAGGGCCUCCCUGCUUUCCAGCUACAAGCUUCUCAUUGCCUGAGGUGACCUGGAGCUGGCCCAGCACCCGUUAACCUAGCACCGGGGAGCUCCUCAUUUUGGGAGGCUGAAAGCUUCCAGAGGGCCGAGGCUGCAGCUCCCACCUCCGUGUGCCUAGCCCGGAGCUCAGGAAAUCCUGAACAGUAGAUGGAGCCCGUGGGAUUGUUCCACACCUUGGUUGUACCUCCCACAUCUCAUUAUCCUGGUGCUUGGAUUCUCACGCCAUGCUCCAAGGCAUCUUGUCAAAAUCCAGGCCCUGGGAUCCUCCCACAGUGAUUGUCUCCCAGGAAAGAGGCAUUUUUCUCAUCACCUUCUGGCUUCGUCUCCCUCUAAGCACCACCUGACCCAAAACUCAUCAAAGCCCCACCCCCUCACCCCUGCCAUGGCUAACUAAAUAAAAUCCAUCUCACACCCUGGCCUUAGGGACAUGAUCAGUCUGGUCCCUUCCAACACUUCCAUGCUCAUCUUUCACUAUGAACCUACUAACGCUCUACCCUCUAGCCACAGUGGCCUCUGGCUUCCGCCCAUGGAGGCCUGUUACAUUCCACCCUCCAUGCCUCUAUUCACGCUGUGCUCUCUAUCUGGAACACCCUUCCCAAGCAUCUCCAUCUGCAAGAUCUCCUCCUCCUUCAAGACCCACUACAAAUGCCACAAAGCCUUCUCUACUGUGACCACCUACUCCCAAACUGGCCCCUCUUGUGGAGGACUUUGCUUUUCCUCCUCUUAUGGUAUUUAUUUCACACCAUCUUAUAUCCCAGUGAUUUGCCCCAAAUCCUACUGCUCGUAACUAAAAGAAGAGGUCUAUUCCUGCACACGGCUCCUUAAAUAGCUCAUUCAUCUUUUGGAGUGUCUACAAAAGUGACACUGGUUGCUGGGAGUAUGUCAAGAAGAGAUGGCAACUACAUAACAUGCACACUGCCACUGCUAAUCCUUCACUCGUGGCAGACAUCACUAAUCAACCAUAUCACUCUUUCCCAUAAUGCUGAGACAUGGCCUUAGGAUCCUUCCCAAUCUUGUGCUCCAUGCAGCCAUUCUCAAUCAAUCUUACAAUGACAAUCCCCAAGUCCUUUCAUGGAAGAUUUUGUUGUUGUUGUUGCUUUAAAACUCUGG